rnacentral:rRNA from 1 species
AUGGCGGCUCGGUCGCCUCCGAGGCCAGUGCUGCUGCUGCUCCUCCUCGCCCUCCUCUGCUGCCACAUUGCGCUCUGCUCCUCCGCCGCGCCGGCCGCCAAGCCCAAGCCCAAGCUCUCCAGCGGCCGCAAGGAGCUCGUCUCCACCGAUGACGACGAGCCGGUCAAGGCGCCCAAGGCCACCGCGGCGGCCGGCGUCAAGAAGAAGGUCGCCUCCUCUGGCGCCAAGAACCAGACCAAGGUUCUGAAAGGCAAGAAACCGGAGGAGUCCACCGCGACAACCAAGGUCACCACCAAGAAGGCGACCGGUAAAGGAGAGUCGACCACGAGCAAGAAGCCGACCGCUAAAGCGGCCGGCGAUGCGGCCAAGCCCAAGGUCCCGAAGCUGGACAAGGCGGCGGCCACCGCCAAGCCCAAGAGCGCCGAUUCCGCCAAGUCCACCAAGGCGGGCGCUGCCAAGCCGGCGAAAUCUGAGGGGGGCGCCCCCAAGGCCAAGAAGCCGUCCAAUUCGACCGCGGAUUCGGCCAAGUCGAGCAAGAAACCGCAGGUUGUCGCCGACGGGAAGGCGGAUUCGACCAAGUCGAGCAAGAAAGCGAAGGCCGUCGUCGCCGACGGGAAGGUGAAGGCGAAUUCGACCGUGAGAAGCGAGGAGGCGGCGGGGGUGGAGGAGGACGUGGUGUUCGCCGAGGAGGCGGAGGGGACGGAGGACCUCAUGUCCGAGUUCCGGGGCCUCCCGGCGCGGCUGCAUCAGACGCUCAUGCCGGACCUGGCGCGGCUGUCGUACACCUCCAAGGCCUACCUGUCGGCCGCCAAUGCGGGGAUCGCCGGCGGCGUGCGGCCGGUCCUGGGGGGCCGGUGGGGCGCGGCGGCGGCCUCCGCGGCGUCGGUGGCCCUGCUGCUGCUGCCCCUCUGCAUGCUCACCGCGCUGGUGCGGCGCAUGGGCCCGUACCUGCCGCUCCUCCACCGCGCGCUGCUGCUCUCGCAGGCCUACCUCGCCAUCUACUUCGGCACGCUCGCGCUCGCCGCCGCCGCCACGGGGCUGGAGCCGCUCCGCUUCUUCCACGCCGCCUCGCCCGCGGCCUACGCCUGGACGCAGGCCGCGCAGUCGCUCGGCUUCAUGGGCUACCUCGUGCUGCAGAUGGUGGACCUCGUCGCCGUCUUCUCCGGGGCCGCCUCGCCGGAGGAGGAGGAGGGCGGCGCGGACGCCACCAAGGCGCUCGGCCUGGCGCAGAUGGUGGUGGGGCUGGCCGUCGGCCUCCACUACUACGCCGCGGUGUUCCACCGCGCCGCCGCCGGCGAGGCCCCGCGCGCGAACUGGCGCGUCUACGCCGUGUACGCCGCGUGCUUCGUCAUCAUCUGCGCGUGCGCGCGAGCUGAGAAGAGGAAGAAGGCCUACCUCGCCGGCGCCGAGGAGUGGAAGAAGAGCUGA